UAGGGAAGUCUUCGGCAAUGGACGAAAGUCUGACCGAGCAACGCCGCGUGAGUGAAGAAGGUUUUCGGAUCGUAAAACUCUGUUGGUAGAGAAGAACGUUGGUGAGAGUGGAAAGCUCAUCAAGUGACGGUAACUACCCAGAAAGGGACGGCUAACUACGNGCCAG
rnacentral:rRNA from 1 species